rnacentral:rRNA from 1 species
AUUGAACGCUGGCGGCAUGCCUUACACAUGCAAGUCGAACGGCAGCACGGGUGCUUGCACCUGGUGGCGAGUGGCGAACGGGUGAGUAAUACAUCGGAACAUGUCCUGUAGUGGGGGAUAGCCCGGCGAAAGCCGGAUUAAUACCGCAUACGAUCUACGGAUGAAAGCGGGGGACCUUCGGGCCUCGCGCUAUAGGGUUGGCCGAUGGCUGAUUAGCUAGUUGGUGGGGUAAAAGCCUACCAAGGCGACGAUCAGUAGCUGGUCUGAGAGGACGACCAGCCACACUGGGACUGAGACACGGCCCAGACUCCUACGGGAGGCAGCAGUGGGGAAUUUUGGACAAUGGGCGAAAGCCUGAUCCAGCAAUGCCGCGUGUGUGAAGAAGGCCUUCGGGUUGUAAAGCACUUUUGUCCGGAAAGAAAUCCUUGGCCCUAAUACGGUCGGGGGAUGACGGUACCGGAAGAAUAAGCACCGGCUAACUACGUG